GGGAGUGGGGCCUCCUCCUUUCAGAUGAACACAGUUGUCUGCUGCCUCCCACGUUCCACUUCUUAAAUGAGCAUGUUUGUGCUGUAUAGGCAAGGGCAACAGAAAACGCAAAGUGUCCUUUCCAGGAGGGCCAAAGGAGGGGGGCAGGGACGCUGGGAAGAGGCGCCAAAGCGGAGGACGGCUGCAGGGGUGACUUCAGCGCUUGGCUACCAAGACCAGGUGUUUCUCUUCCUCCUGCCCUGGGUACCAUCCCACAGAGAGGCCAGGCCCACCUGCAGGUCCUCACCUCCACAGAGCCAGCCUCUCUUGAGCAGCUCCGCUCUGCCUUCUGAUACUCAUCGCCACAAGCACCUUGUCCUUCCUCGGCCUCCCACUCCCUCCCUCUGAGCCCGCGCCCUGCUCCCCUGCCUGGCGGUCAGUCGACUGCCCCGCCCCGCCUCCAAUUCAGGUGGACAGGCUUCAGCGUCCACUACCGGGGAAGAGGCAGCCCCGCACCCGUGCCUCCCCCCGCCUCUGGGCCGCUCCUUCCCAGCCUGAGCCUGACCGCAUGAGGAAGGCACAACCUCUCUGCUCCAGAGACCUGGAGAGGCCGGGAGGCCCUGUCCUGGGCAUGGAAGGCAGGAGGGAGCCCUGAGUGCGGCAGGAGGGAAGCAGCGCUUCAGGGGAAGGAUCUAAUGGCUGUGACCUGCGUGGGCUGCAGGAGGAAAUCUACGAUGACGAUCAGGCGGAACUAGAAGACUCAGACAUCUGCUUAACCUGCUCUCCUUAGGAAGGCCUCUCCAGUGGGUUAGGACUAUACAGAGGUGCCCCGGCACUAAUGCCCCAUUUAAGGUUGAAAGCUCAGCUGAGAGAAAAAGUGUGGUGUCAUCGGGUACCCAUCCUAGUAAUAGUUGCCUUCCAUAAGGAGGAUUAACCUGCAUCUCAGGCUCCACUAGGCCAACACAAAUUCCCCUUCAGAAACCAGAUCCUCAUCUCUCACCUUACACAAAAAUCAACUCAAGAUGGUCAAAGGCUGAAAGCUAAAACCUGAAACCAAUACAAGUUCUAGAAGAUAACAUCGGAAAAACUCUUCCAGACAUUGGCUUAGGCAAAGAAUUCAUGACUAAGACCCCAAA
rnacentral:lncRNA from 1 species